AUGGCUUUUGUGCAACAUCGAAAGGGUCCUGAUGUAGUGGGAUCAUUCAGAUUGUUACAACCUCUAGCAGAUGGUUUGAAAUUGAUUCUAAAAGAACCUAUUUCACCAAGUAGUGCUAAUUUCUCCCUUUUUAGAAUGGCUCCAGUGGCUACAUUUAUGUUAAGUCUGGUCGCUUGGGCCGUUGUACCUUUUGAUUAUGGUAUGGUAUUGUCAGAUCCGAACAUAGGGCUACUUUAUUUGUUUGCCAUAUCUUCGCUAGGUGUUUAUGGAAUAAUUAUAGCAGGUUGGUCUAGUAAGACGGGGGGCGGCCGUUCGGUCGCCUAUGAUAUACGGACCAAUUGGUCAAAAUGGGUUUGUGCCACAGGUGUUGAACGAUCUACUCUACAUAGGUGUGGGCUUAUAGGGCUAGGGCUCAUAAACCCUUUCUUUCAUUCAUCAAGGGGUCGGUCACUUUUCCGGGCCGGGAUCGAGAAGUGGAAGUCAUAA
rnacentral:rRNA from 1 species